rnacentral:rRNA from 1 species
CCUACGGGAGGCAGCAGUGGGGAAUUUUGGACAAUGGGCGAAAGCCUGAUCCAGCAAUGCCGCGUGUGGGAAGAAGGCCUUCGGGUUGUAAACCACUUUUGUACGGAACGAAACGGUUCGCUUUAAUACAGUGGGCUAAUGACGGUACCGUAAGAAUAAGCACCGGCUAACUACGUGCCAGCAGCCGCGGUAAUACGUAGGGUGCGAGCGUUAAUCGGAAUUACUGGGCGUAAAGCGUGCGCAGGCGGUUAUACAAGACAGUUGUGAAAUCCCCGGGCUCAACCUGGGAAUUGCAUCUGUGACUGUAUAGCUAGAGUACGGUAGAGGGGGAUGGAAUUCCGCGUGUAGCAGUGAAAUGCGUAGAUAUGCGGAGGAACACCGAUGGCGAAGGCAAUCCCCUGGACCUGUACUGACGCUCAUGCACGAAAGCGUGGGGAGCAAACAGGAUUAGAUACCCUGGUAGUCCACGCCCUAAACGAUGUCAACUGGUUGUUGGGUGCAUAGUACUCUAGUAACGAAGACUAACGACGUGUAAGUUAGUACCGGCCGUCGGGGAGGUACGGACCGGCCGUAACGGUUAGGUAAACGUUAAAAGGUUAAAGUUAGGUUAGGGACGGUGGAGGACGUUCGCCGACGGACGACCGACGAGGGGAGGAGG